rnacentral:rRNA from 1 species
GCUGACGAGUGGCGGACGGGUGAGUAAUGUCUGGGAAACUGCCUGAUGGAGGGGGAUAACUACUGGAAACGGUGGCUAAUACCGCAUAACGUCGCAAGACCAAAGAGGGGGACCUUCGGGCCUCUUGCCAUCAGAUGUGCCCAGAUGGGAUUAGCUGGUUGGUGAGGUAACGGCUCACCAAGGCGACGAUCCCUAGCUGGUCUGAGAGGAUGACCAGCCACACUGGAACUGAGACACGGUCCAGACUCCUACGGGAGGCAGCAGUGGGGAAUAUUGCACAAUGGGCGCAAGCCUGAUGCAGCCAUGCCGCGUGUAUGAAGAAGGCCU